UGAGGAAUUUUGCGCAAUGGCCGCAAGGCUGACGCAGCAACGCCGCGUGGGUGAUGAAGGCCUUCGGGUCGUAAAGCCCUGUCAGGUGGGAAGAAAGGCCUGGAGAGGAAAGGUUUCAGGUUUGACGGUACCACCAGAGGAAGCACCGGCUAACUCCGUGCCAGCAGCCGCGGUAAUACGGAGGGUGCGAGCGUUAUUCGGAAUUACUGGGCGUAAAGCGCGUGUAGGCGGGGGGACAAGUCUGAUGUGAAAGCCCUGGGCUUAACCUGGGAAGCGCAUUGGAAACUGUUUUUCUUGAGUACUGGAGAGGAAGGGGGAAUUCCCGGUGUAGAGGUGAAAUUCGUAGAGAUCGGGAGGAAUACCAGUGGCGUAGGCGCCCUUCUGGACGGUAACUGACGCUGAGACGCGAAAGCGUGGGGAGCAAACAG
rnacentral:rRNA from 1 species